rnacentral:rRNA from 1 species
UACGUAGGGCGCAAGCGUUAAUCCGGAAUUAUUGGGCGUAAAGAGCUCGUAGGCGGUUUGUCGCGUCUGCCGUGAAAGUCCGGGGACCUCAACUCCGGAUCUGCGGUGGGUACGGGCAGACGUAGAGUGAUGAGGGGAGGACUGGAAUUCCUGGUGUAGCGGUGAAAUGCGCAGAUAUCAGGAGGAACACCGAUGGCGAAAGGCAGGGUCUCUGGGCGAUUAACUGACGCUGAGGACGAAAGCAUGGGGAGCGAACAGG